rnacentral:rRNA from 1 species
GAUGAACGCUGGCGGCGUGCCUAAUACAUGCAAGUCGAGCGAAUGGAUUAAGAGCUUGCUCUUAUGAAGUUAGCGGCGGACGGGUGAGUAACACGUGGGUAACCUGCCCAUAAGACUGGGAUAACUCCGGGAAACCGGGGCUAAUACCGGACAACAUUUUGAACCGCAUGGUCCGAAAUUGAAAGGCGGCUUCGGCUGUCACUUAUGGAGGGUCCCGCGUAGGAUUAGCUAGUUGGUGAGGUAACGGCUCACCAAGGCAACGAUGCGUAGCGGGCCUGAGAGGGUGAUCGGCCACACUGGGACUGAGACACGGCCCAGACUCCUACGGGAGGCAGCAGUAGGGAAUCUUCCGCAAUGGACGAAAGUCUGACGGAGCAACGCCGCGUGAGUGAUGAAGGCUUUCGGGUCGUAAAACUCUGUUGUUAGGGAAGAACAAGUGCUAGUUGAAUAAGCUGACACCUUGACGGUACCUAACCAGAAAGCCACGGCUAACUACGUGCCAGCCGCCGCGGUAA